UCACGGGCGCCAAGCGCGUGCUGCAGCCGCCGUCGCUGCACACGUCGGACAUCAAAUGGGAGUAGAUGCUACGUGAAUAAAUGAAUGUUCCGGUGUCGUACUGCAAAGAAAAUAAGAUAGAAUGGCGAGGUGUUAGUUCUAGUGAAGAGUGAUGGAUGGUUUGUGUAAAUUUAAGUUUCGUCGAUCGAACUAAGUAUGAUUUUGUUUCUACCUGAAAAACUCUCUUCUUUUGAAUCUCUCAACAACAAGAAAACUCCAUUCUUUUGAAUGGAAGUUCUCGCGCUCCGGGUUUAGAAUUAGAAAGAAGAUUUGUUCACAGUGCUGCAAAUGGAUGGGUGUGCAUUCGAAACUGAAACAAAGCCCCUCGCACACCAAAAAAAAAACUACUGAAACAGAGCAUACAACGGGCUUCUUCUCCAAUAUCGACGAUGCUCACGGUGAUAGCUCUGUGCAUGCGGCCGCCCAGAUAACCAAAACGACCGCACGAAACGCGGUUGACACGUGGCCCCCGCGCCGGCACGUAGCAGCUGAGAUGGCGGUCCGCAUGCCCUCUCGCCUCUCCACGCGUCUCCUGCACCGCACCGCACCGCAAAGGAGGAUCCUGCCAGCUGCCGGCAUAUAUGCAACGUUUGUGCCAUGGUAGGGGAUACACACACUGCAAAAUCCACCUGUCGGCAAGGACGCCGAUGACGAUGCUGAUGGGCAGGUUGGCCGGCGUAGCGCUGGAGCUGGCUCUCGCCGCGCUGCUCCUGCUCUUCCUCCCGCCCUACUACGUCUACAGGUUCACCGCCUCCUUCCUCGGCUCCGUCUUCCCCGACAACGUCUCCGGCAAGGUCGUCCUCAUCACCGGCGCCUCCUCCGGCAUAGGCGAGGUAUGCAUACGUUACAUCACAGCAUACGUCUCUCCAGGACAGAUGCUUCACCUUUUCUAUACGGUAGAUUUAUCUAGUUUCUUGUUUGUGUGUGUAGCACCUGGCGUAUGAGUACGCGAAGAGAGGAGCCAACCUGGCGCUCGUGGCGAGAAGGGAGGCGAGCCUCCGGGAGGUCACCGACAACGCGUCGGCGCUCGGCUCACCCAGCGUCCUUGUCUUGCCGGCUGACGUCUCCAAGCCCGACGACUGCCUAAAGUUCAUCGACGACACGGUUGCCUACUUCGGAAGAUGUAAGUCUGAACUGAAUGGCAUCUAUGCCACCGUAGACAAAUAUUGCUACAUGAAUUUUCCUGAAAACAGUAGAUUAACUGAAUCCAUAUAUGACAUAUAUUCAUGUAAGUGCUUAAUGAUCACUGGGAUUUUUGGUGAAUCAUAUCAAGAUUGACGAGUGUGCAUUCGGAUCACCGGAACUUUCUUUUGAUGUGCCUGCUAUUUGCAGUGGACCACUUGGUGAACAACGCGUCGAUUUGGCAGGUCUGCAAGUUCGAAGAGGUGGAGGACGUGAGCUACUUCAGAACACUGAUGGUACGCAACACAGGCCGUUUUCAGUUCUUCACACAAACUUAGGGCGACAAUGAGUGAGAAUCUGACUUCUGCACGUAGGACAUCAACUUCUGGGGUCAUGUGUACCCAACUCGCUAUGCCAUUCCUCACCUGAAGAAAACCCAUGGCCGGAUCGUUGGUGUCACCUCCAACUCCUCCUACAUAUUCAUCGGAAGGAACACCUUCUACAAUGUCUGUGACGAGCCCCUUCCGUGCUUGCUAGCAUAAACCAUUGAAAUGCACGGGUACAAUGUGGAAUUGUUGCUAAUGUGAAAUGUCUGUUAUUUGCAUGGCAGGCGAGCAAAGCAGCGGCGCUAAAUUUUUACAACACGCUCCGGAUGGAGCUUGGCGGGGACGUCCGCAUUACAGAGAUCGUCCCAGGGGUGGUCGAGUCAGAGAUCACAAAGGGGAAGAUGCUCACCAAGGAAGGAGAGAUGAAAGUUGACCAAGACGAAAGAGAUGUAACACGAGUUGCCACAUGAUAUUAUUGUUCGACCACGGUAGCAUCAUAUCAAUUCAUGUUGUUGAUCUAGCUGAUUGUGAUCAUCGCAGGCGAUCCUUGGGCCAACACCGGCAGAGCCUGUCGCCGCUUUCGCAAAGACGGCGGUGAAGGAUGUGUGCCGGGGGGAGAGGUACGUGUUCGAGCCGAGGUGGUACUUGGCGGUGUACCUGUUCAGGGUCUGCUUCCCAGAGAUCCUGGCCUGGAGCUCCCGGCUCCUGACCGUGAAGACACUGGGGCGCCCUGCAACGACCGACACUGUGGGAAGACAGAUCCUCGACAUGCCCGGGGUGCGCUGGUUCACCCAAACGGCCUCGCUGCGGUCGCCGGAGAUUCAGGCCAGGUGAAAGUAGCUGGAUCGGCCCGUUGUGAUGUAGGAAGCCCACUACGAGGUCUGGUAGUAGUAAGAUGAAGCUUUGUCGAACUAAAACGUGCUUGUGUACUAGUAUGUCCAUGGUCCGUAAUAAUUGAGAGUGGAAAAGAACAUUACAGUACUUUUUUUUCUUCGUCUGAAAUCCAGUGGACAACGUAGAAGACAUCACUACUUGGUGCAAUGUGCAUGGAACUUCACUUCUGAGUUACCGAAUUGGGAAUUUGAUGCGGCUUGUCAUGUGUGUGUGUGUUGGUGGGGGGAACACAGACAGUUUACAGGAACCUAGACCUAAUCACUAUUUCAGUUCGACAUACAUUCAUUUGAGCGUCGACUAAUUUCGGACAAAAGGAGUACAAACAUUCUGUACAUUCUUUCGGACAGAGGGAUUCUUGACG
rnacentral:lncRNA from 1 species